rnacentral:rRNA from 1 species
GUGGGGAAUUUUGGACAAUGGGCGAAAGCCUGAUCCAGCCAUGCCGCGUGCAGGAUGAAGGCCUUCGGGUUGUAAACUGCUUUUGUACGGAACGAAAAGACUCCUUCUAAUAAAGGGGGUCCAUGACGGUACCGUAAGAAUAAGCACCGGCUAACUACGUGCCAGCAGCCGCGGUAAUACGUAGGGUGCAAGCGUUAAUCGGAAUUACUGGGCGUAACGCGUGAGCAGGCGGUUAUAUAAGACAGAUGUGAAAUCCCCGGGCUCAACCUGGGAACUGCAUUUGUGACUGUAUAGCUAGAGUACGGUAGAGGGGGAUGGAAUUCCGCGUGUAGCAGUGAAAUGCGUAGAUAUGCGGAGGAACACCGAUGGCGAAGGCAAUCCCCUGGACCUGUACUGACGCUCAUGCACGAAAGCGUGGGGAGCAAACAGGAUUAGAUACCCCGGUAGUCC